rnacentral:rRNA from 7 species
AUUGACCUCGGAUCAGGUGA